GUGAGAGCUGAGCAACUCACGUUUGUUCUCGUUGUCUGGCAUGUGCUGAAGUCUGGGUUGCUCUUUGUUGCUCGCCAGUACCGUGUGUGUGUGAGCAAACUAUACUAAGGAGAAUGUCAGACCUGACCCAGACCUGGUGAGCCCAGAGUCCUACCUGCUGAUGCACCGGUGCCUUGAGCCGAGGAGGCUGAACUGGUUACACGGAGUGGUCAGCAGGGCAGCCACUGCUCUUUUUCUCCGACUAUAGUUUUAUUUUAGUAUUCUGCUCUAGUGCCUCCAUCUUGCCCUCUAUUUAUAAAAAUAACAAACUGAUAUUGUGCCUUUUUGAUGACCGUUUCUUCCCCCUUCCCCACUUCUAUUGUGUUGUGUAUACUUACCAGGAUAAUUAAUAGUAUUUGUUUGUGCCCAACAUAAUCCGCAGUGCUAUUUGUUUGCAGUGGUGGUUAUUUUAGCCUUCCUUAACAGUGUGCAGUGUUUUUAUUGUUGGAAGUGUCAUUGUUGCCCCCGGUCCAUCACUAUUGGUAUACAUUAUUUUGAUGUGUUUUUAUAAAGGAAUUGUUUAAAUACAAGUGAUAUUGCACUGUACACGCAGAAGCCUCUGUCCGUCUAUGGUUUAUCUUGCAUAGGGUUUUUGGCCAGUAAAAUAAUUUCAUUCAGGGUCUCUCCCCUCAAAGAGAGUGGCGUUGUCACGUCUGGAUAUUAUUCCAAAGUAUUUUAAGUGUCCAUUUGGUCACAUAUAAUUUUGUAUUGCAGAGUUGUUAAAUCAUUAUUUUAAUUUAUUUUGUAUAUUCCUGUUUAUUGAAUGAACUGUGUGUUUUGAGACCUGACAUAGCCGAAAUCACAGAGAUUGACAGGCCGUGCAUAUGACCAGAACAGACUGACAGGUUGAUCAUUACUGUUAGUGCCAUUUUCCAUGUCGUAAUUUAGAUUUAGAUUGAUAUUAUUUAGAUUCAUGUUUAUUGAUGAUUUAUUAUAUCAUAAGUAUAAUUACACUGUGAUUACAUAAUUGUACUCAUAAUUCGCAUGUUAGUUAAUACACGUUUAGUGUACAUGCUUGGUGUAAUACAUAGGAGUGAGGCGAGUGAGCGCACUGACUUAUGACGUAAGGCACCUGUGCUUUGACGAAGCGAGAAAACGCUGUGUAAUUUUGCUCUGUCAGAUCAUUCAGUAAAGCGAACGGAGCGAACACACUGUUUUCUACCGUUGUUCAACACAUUAAACACGCGUAGACUCGUUCUUUCCGUUUUGGAGUGGUUAAAGAAAUUAAGAACUGAAGAAGCAACUGCCGAACCUAAGAAGGGAACUUUAGCCACUACAUUAAGUAGAAAACAGUCGCCGAAAGCGAGACAAGAUCAUCCGAAGCCGAGGGAAGACGCGCGGCGCGGGACACGAGUUGACGAGAGAUAGCUUGCUGCAGCGACAACGCCGUGCACCCAACCGGAUUUCCAGACGUCUUCAACAUGACGGUUGAGUAAACAAGGAACAACAUUGAAUGAAUGGAUAAGCUAUAGCUGCAGACCUUGCUAGUUAUGGCGAAAUAAGGAUAGCUCUGCCGUCAUAGUCGACGUAGUCAACGUGGCCGAGCUAUUGCUACUAGCCAGUAGCCACACAGGACAUUAUGCUAAUAGUGCUAUUGCUAACCAGUCAUAUUAGCCCAUAAGAAGCUCUCUGUAAAUUCUGGAAAUAAAUACGGCUCUGAAAUCUCAUAUUUGGAAAGCAUCGACGUGCUUUGAGGAUAAAGGACUGUUAAUCUGGAUUUCAGAAGUUUGCAAGAGCUUGCUAUAAGAGACUAUUCUAGCGUUAAUAGCCAGCUGAAAUGUCUGAAGAAGAAACUGAGAUGGAGGGAAAUGUCGAGCUAAACACGAAAAGAAGGAUCGAGUUGACCACAAAGGCCUUAGAAGAGAAACUUGAUAAACAUAUGAAUCAUAGGAAACGUGUGUUAGCACGCCUUGUCUCCAAAGCAGAGGAAAUAGAAAACCUCAUGAAAAUUGAGUCCAACGCACUUCUGGUGGAAAAGGAUCAUCUUGGUGAUUACUCAAAAUUCCUGAAUGAGUUUAUUGAAGUAAACAAUGUGGUUAGUAAACUCUUAUCAGAUGAUGAACGAAAGGCUGACCAGCAGUAUUGGAGCGAGCCAAACCGAUCAAAGCAUGAGAACUUUUUGAUUAAAUUGGAGCAGUGGAUAAUUAACGCAAAACGGCACUCCAAUGCCACUAACGAACAAGCUGCAAAAAAUGACACGACGACACAGAAAGGUGAGUCUGUCGUCGAAGAUGUGGAUCCAGAUGACAGUGCUUCUGCUGUACAAGAAAAAUAUAGUUCAGUCACAGCACGUAGUGUAUGCAGUAAACACUCAAGGUCAUCCAAAGCGUCCUCUCAUGCUUCGUCUCUGCGUAGAAUAGAGGAAGCUAAUCGUGCAGCCCUACUCGCACGCGCAGCCGCGUUUACGAAGAAACGGGCACUGCAGUUGGAAGAAGCACAGAUGAAAGCCAAGAAGAUUCAGUUAGAGGCUCGAAUGGAGGAGCUAGACAUUGAAACUGCUAUUGCAGAGUCCACAGCAAAGCUACAGGUUCUGGAAGCUUACGACAACAAAAACUCGGACGACGACGGUAUGAAUUCUUACCUUGGCAAGAACGUGCCUACAGCAGCAAUCGUCAAACAUCAUGCUCCAGAUGUCAAACCAAAGUCGACCAGCAGUUUUCGAGUUAUUCAAGACAACGAUGCAUCUUACAGUCCAACUAGACACACGUCGUAUGUGCAAGUGAGUAACGAACGCGACAAUAACACAAGUGCAAGUUGCAAUGGAAGGCAAGUUGAACCAGACAAAGUGAUAUUGAACCAGAAGGAUAUCACAGAGAUGUUAGUCACACAACAGAGACUAGCCAACCUACCUCAACGAGAAGUCCCUGUAUUCAGUGGCGAUCCUUUCGAGUUCCUGCCGUUCAUGAGGGCAUUUGAGCACAUCAUUCAAAGUCGCACAGACAAUGAUGAAGACCGCUUAUACUAUCUUGAGCAAUUCACCAGCGGCUAACCACGAGAACUUGUGAGAAGCUGCCAACAUAUGAGCACACAACAAGGCUAUAUGGAAGCAAGAAAGCUCUUGAGCCAUCACUUUGGCAACGAGCAGAAAAUAGCUGCGGCCUACGCGGACAAGGCUAUCAACUGGCCUCAGAUCAAAGCAGAAGACGCCAAGUCACUUCACAGCUUCUCCAUCUUUCUUACUGGAUGCAACAAUGUCAUGAAGAGCAUGGAAUACCUCGAGGAGAUGAACAGCUCAAGCAAUCUUCGGAUUGUCGUCUCAAAAUUGCCCUUCAGACUUCGUGAAAGAUGGAGAGUCAUAGCUUUUGACAUACAGGAAAGGGAAGGAAGAAGGGCAAGGUUCUCAGAUCUCGCGACAUUCAUCAACAGACAAGCAAAGAUAGCUUCAGACCCACUGUUUGGUGAUGUGAAAGAGUCCUUUGAAGUAAACGAAAAGGGCAAAUUAAGCACUAGACCCGCCAAGAAGGGCGGACCUAAAAGAACCACUGGCUUUGCUACAAGUGUUAAGCCAGACGAAGUGAAUGCCUCAGAACCAAGUAAAAACAAACAGACAAGCAACGCGUUUCAAGAGCCAUGCCUGUACUGCAACAAAGGACACACCCUGAGUGCAUGUAACAAAAUAAGAAGUCUGCCAAACAAGGAGAGAAUUGAGUUCCUUAAAAGUCAAGGACUUUGUUUCGGGUGUCUGACCCAAGGGCACAUGGGAAAGGACUGCAAAAGGAGAGCCACGUGUGAAUUCUGCAGUAAGAAACAUCCAAGCCUGCUUCAUAGCAAAAGGGACGAGGGCACCGACCAAGAGAACAUCAGACCUGGGAGAGGUCAAAGCUAUACCAGUGGACACUCAACUUCUCGAGAAGACGAGUCAGCCAAGAGUGAAGUCACGGCAGUCACCGGGGCCGGAGGCAGCGACUGUAUCCUGUCUAUCGUGCCCGUGCGCAUCAAAUCCAAGAAGAGCAACACGACAAUAGAAACGUACGCGUUCAUGGACUCAGGAAGUUCUGCUACGUUUUGCUCCGAAAGGCUGAUGAGACAGCUUGGCGUCCAUGGUAAGAAGACUCAAGUGCUACUCCGUACUAUGGGCCAGGAGAAGCCUGUGUCCUGCUACGUGCUCUCAGAUCUAGAAGUGUGCGGCCUGACAGAGAACAAGUACAUAAGCCUGCCAGAUGUAUAUACCCACAAAGACAUACCUGUAACGAAGGACAAUGUUCCUGUUGAAAAGGACUUGGAAAGAUGGCCGUAUCUGCAGAAAGAAGUGCAGUUACCACAGAUCGACGCAGAUGUUGAGAUGCUAAUUGGAACGAACGCUCACUCUGCGAUGGAGCCAUGGAAGAUAAUUCACAGCAAAGACAACGGGCCUUACGCAGUGAAGACGACCCUUGGUUGGGUAGUUAAUGGUCCUCUCAAGAAAGGUGACAAUGACCACAAGUCAAGUCACUACAGUCAAAGGGCUUCAGUCAACAGAAUCUCAGUCAGCGACGUGGAUAGCAUGCUACUGCAACAAUACAAUCACGACUUUCCAGAACAAUCCUGUGAAGAAAAGUCAGAAAUGUCGCAAGAAGACGUCCAGUUCAUGAAGUCUGUGACGGAGACAAUCAAGAAAGUCAAUGGGCACUACAGUAUUAGGAUGCCCCUCAGAAACAAAAACGUGGUGAUGCCAAGUAACAAAUGUGUUGCCGAGCAACGAGCAUCAAACCUGAAAAGGAAACUCGCCAAAAACUCCAGCUUCCAUGACGACUA
ensembl:lncRNA